UGCAAGUCGAACGGCAGCACGGGUAGUAGCAAUACUACUGGGGUGGCGAGUGGCGGACGGGUGAGUAACGCGUAGGAAUCUGCCCUGUAGAGGGGGAUAACCCGAGGAAACUCGGGCUAAUACCGCAUAAUAUCUAUGGAUUAAAGCUGGGGUUAAACCUGGCGCUAUGGGAGGAGCCUGCGUCUGAUUAGCUAGUUGGUGGGGUAAAGGCCUACCAAGGCGACGAUCAGUAGGUGGUCUGAGAGGAUGAUCACCCACACUGGGACUGAGACACGGCCCAGACUCCUACGGGAGGCAGCAGUGGGGAAUAUUGGACAAUGGGGGCAACCCUGAUCCAGCAAUGCCGCGUGUGUGAGGAAGGCCUUCGGGUUGUAAAGCACUUUAGGAGGGGAAGAAGGUGUGUAUUUUAAGAGAUAGCACAUUUGACGGUACCUUCAGAAUAAGCACCGGCUAACUCUGUGCCAGCAGCCGCGGUAAUACAGAGGGUGCAAGCGUUAAUCGGAUUUACUGGGCGUAAAGGGCGCGUAGGUUGUUGUGUAAGUGAGAUGUGAAAUCCCCGGGCUUAACCUGGGAACUGCAUCUUAUACUGCAUAACUGGAGUGCAAUAGAGGGUAGUGGAAUUUCCGGUGUAGCGGUGAAAUGCGUAGAUAUCGGAAGGAACACCAGUGGCGAAGGCGGCUACCUGGAUUGACACUGACACUGAGGCGCGAGAGCGUGGGGAGCAAA
rnacentral:rRNA from 1 species